rnacentral:lncRNA from 1 species
AGAACUUACGGGACUCGAUUCCGACAUACGGAGACUGAGUUAUCGCCCAGUUUGCAAAACUCGCCAACACUUGGGCAAAAAGCCGAAAAAGAGGUCAAAACCCGCAUCUGCCGUCCGAAUGACACGAAUACACAGAUAUAGCACCGUGCAGGUAAUAGACACACGUUAGAACUUAUGGGACUCGAUUCUGACAUACGGAGACCGAGUUAUCGCGGAGUUUGACAAACUCGCCAACACUUGGGCAAAAAGCCGAAAAAGAGGUCAAAACCAGCAUCUGCCGUCCGAAUGACACGAAUACAGACAUAUAGCACCGUGCAGGUAAUAGACACGCGUUAGAACUUACGGGACUCGAUUCUGACAUACAGAGACCGAGUUAUCGCCUAGUUUGCAAAACUCGCCAACAAUUAGGCAAAAAGACGAAAAACAGGUCAAAACCCGCAUCGGCCGUUCGAAUGACACGCAAACACACACAUAACACCGCGUAGGUAAUAGACAUGCAUUAGAACUUACGGGACUCGAUUCCGACAUACGGAGACUGAGUUAUCGCCCAGUUUGCAAAACUCGCCAACACUUAGGCUAAAAGUCGAAAAAGGGGUCAAAACUCGCAUCGGUGGUCCGAAUGACACGCAAACACACUAAUAGCACCGCGUAGGUAAUAGACACGCGUUAGAACUUACGGGACUCGAUUCCGACAUACGGAGACCGAGUUAUCGCCCAGUUUGCAAAACUCGCCAACACUUACGCAAAAAGCCAAAAAAGAGGUCAAAACUCGCAUCGGUAGUCCGAAUGACACGCAAACACACACAUAGCACCGCGUAGAUAAUUGAAACGCAUUAGAACUUAUGGGACUCGAUUCCGACAUAUGGAGACCGAGUUAUCGCCCAGUUUGCAAAACUCGCCAAGACUUAGGCAAAGAGCGGAAAAAGAGGUCAAAAACCCUUAUCGGCCGUUCGAAUGACACGCAAACACACACAUAACACCGUGCAGGUAAUAGACACGCGUUAGAACUUACAGGACUCAAUUCUGACAUACGGAGACCGAGUAAUUGCCCAGUUUGCAAAACUCGCCAACACUUAGGCAAAAAGCCGAAAAAGAGGUCAAAACUCGCAUCGGUCGUCUGAUGACACGCAAACACACACAUAACACCGCGUAGGUAAUAGUCACGCAUUAGAACUUACGGGACUCGAUUCCGACAUACGGAGACUGAUUUAUCGCCCAGUUUGCAAAAGUUGCCAACACUUAGGCAAAAGGACGAAAAAUAGGUCAAAACCCGCAUCGGCCGUCCAAAUAACACGCAAACACACACAUAGCACCGCGUAGGUAAUUGACACGCGUAAGAACUUACGGGACUCGAUUCCGACAUACGGAGACUGAGUUAUAGCCCAGUUUGUAAAACUCGCCAACAAUUAGGCAAAAAGCCAAAAAAGACGUCAAAACCCGCAUCGGCCGUCCGAAUGACACGCAAACACACACAUAGAACCGCGUAGAUAAUUGACACGCAUUAGAACUUACGGUACUCGAUUUCUACAUAUGGAGACCGAUUUAUCGCACAGUUUGCAAAACUCGCCAACACUUAAGCAAAAAGACGAAAAAGAGGUCAAAAACCCGCAUCGGCCGUCUGAAUGACACGCAAACACACACAUAGAACCGCGUAGAUAAUUGACACGCAUUAGAACUUAUGGUACUCGAUUUUGACAUAUGGAGACCGAGUUAUCGCCUAGUUUGUAAAACUCGCCAACACUUAAGCAAAAAGUCGAAAAAGGGGUAAAAACUCGCAUCAGUAGUCCGAAUGACACGCAAACACACUAAUAGCACCGCGUAGGUAAUAGACACGCGUUAGAACUUAUGGGACUCGAUUCCGACAUACGGAGACCGAGUUAUCGCGGAGUUUGCAAAACUCGCCAACACUUAGGCAAAAAGCCGAAAAAGAGGUCAAAACCCGCAUCUGCCGUCCGAAUGACACGAAUACACAGAUAUAGCACCGUGCAGGUAAUAGACACGCGUUAGAACCUACGGGACUCGAUUCUGACAUACGGAGACCGAGUUAUUGCACAGUUUGCAAAACUCGCCAACACUUAGGCAAAAAGCCGAAAAAGAGGUCAAAACUCGCAUCGGCCAUCCGAAUGAUAUGCAAACACACACAUAGAACCGCGUAGGUAAUAGACACGCAUUAGAACUUACGGGACUCGAUUCCGACAUACGGAGACCGAGUUAUCAUCUAAUUUGCAAAACACGCCAACACUUAGGCAAAAAGAGGAAAAAGAGGUCAAAAACCCGCAUCGGCUGUUCGAAUGACACGCAAACACACACAUAACACUGCGUAGGUAAUAGUCAUGCAUUAGAACUUACGGGACUCCAAUCUGACAUACGAAAACUGAGUUAUCGUCCAGUUUGCAAAACUCGCCAACACUUAGGCAAAAAGAGAAAAAACAGGUCAAAACCCGCAUCGGCCAUCUGAAUGAUACGCAACCACACACAUAGCACCGCGUAGGUAAUAGACACGCGUUAGAACUUACGGGACUCGAUUCCGACAUACGGAGACUGAGUUAUCGCCCAGUUUGCAAAACUCGUCAACGCUUAGGCAAAAAGUCGAAAAAGGGGUCAAAACUCGCAUCGGUCGUCCGAAUGACACGCCAACACACUAAUAGUACCGCGUAGGUAAUAGUCAUGCAUUAGAACUUACGGUACUCUAUUUCGAGUCGUCCGAAUGACACGCCAACACACUAAUAGUACCGCGUAGGUAAUAGACACGCGUUAGAACUUACGGGACUCGAUUCCGACAUAAGGAGACCGAGUUAUGACCCAGUUUGCAAAACUCGCCAACAUUUAGGCAAAAAGCCAAAAAAGACGUCAAAACCCGCAUCGGCCGUCCGAAUGACACGCAAACACACACAUAGAACCGCGUAGGUAAUUGACACGCAUUAGAACUUACGGUACUCGAUUUCGACAUAUGGAGACCGAUUUAUCGCCCAGUUUGCAAAACUCACCAACACUUAAGCAAAAAGACGAAAAAGAGGUCAAAACCCGCAUCGGCCGUCUGAAUGACACGCAAACACACACAUAACACCGCGUAGGUAAUAGUCAUGCAUUAGAACUUACGGGACUCGAUUCCGACAUACGGAGACCGAGUUAUCGCCUAAUUUGCAAAACACGCCAACACUUAGGCAAAAAGACGAAAAACAGGUCAAAACCCGCAUCGGCCGUCCGAAUGACACGCAAACACACACAUAGUACCGCGUAGAUAAUUGACACGCAUUAGAACUUGCGGUACUCGAUUUCGACAUAUGAAGACCGAGUUAUCACCCAGUUUGCAAAACUCGCCAACACUUAGGCAAAAAGACGAAAAAGAGGUCAAAACCAGCAUCGGCCGUCCGAAUGACACACAAACACACACAUAGCACCGCGUAGGUAAUAGACACGCGUUAGAACUUACGGGACUCGAUUCCGACAUACGGAGACCGAGUUAUCGCCCAGUUUGCAAAACUCGCCAACACUUAGGCAAAAAGCCGAAAAAGAGGUCAAAACCCGCACCGGCCGUCCGAAUGACACGCAAACACACACAUAGCACCGCGUAGGUAAUAGACACGCGUUAGAACUUACGGGACUCGAUUCCGACAUACGGAGACCGAGUUAUCGCCCAGUUUGCAAAACUCGCCAACACUUAGGCAAAAAGCCGAAAAUGAGGUCAAAACCCGCACCGGCAGUCCGAAUGACACGCAAACACACACAUAGCACCGCGUAGGUAAUAGACACGCGUUAGAACUUACGGGACUCGAGUCUGACAUACGGAGACCGAGUUAUCGCCCAGUUUACAAAACUCGCCAACACUUGGGCAAAAAGCCAAAAAAGAGGUCAAAACCCUGAUCGACCGUCCGAAUGACAUGCAAACACACACAUAGAACCGCGUAGGUAAUUGACACGCAUUAGAACUUACGGGACUCGAUUCCGACAUACGGAGACCGAGUUAUCGCGGAUUUUGCAAAACUCGCCAACACUUAGGCAAAAAGCCUAAAAAGGGGUCAAAACUCGCAUCGGUCGUCCGAAUGACACGCCAACACACUAAUAGCACCGCGUAGGUAAUAUACACGCAUUAGAACUUACGGGACUCGAUUCCGACAUACGGAGACCGAGUUAUCGCGGAGUUUGCAAAACUCGCCAACACUUAGGCAAAAUGCCAAAAAAGAGGUCAAAACCCGCAUCUGCCGUCCGAAUGACACGCAAACACAUUAAUAGCACCGCGUAGGUAAUAGACACACGUUAGAACUUACGGGACUCGAUUCCGACAUACAAAGACCGAGUUAUCGCGGAGUUUGUAAAACUCGCCAACACUUGGGCAAAAAGCCGAAAAAGAGGUCAAAACCCGCAUCUGCCGUCGAAUGACACGAAUACACACAUAUAGCACCGUGCAGGUAAUAGACACGCGUUAGAACUUACGGGACUCGAUUCUGACAUACGGAGACCGAGUUAUUGCCCAGUUUGCAAAACUCGCCAACACUUAGGCAAAUAGCCGAAAAAGAGGUCAAAACUCGCAUCGGCAGUCCGAA